rnacentral:tRNA from 19 species
GCGCCCGUAGCUCAGCUGGAUAGAGUACCUGGCUACGAACCAGGUGGUCGGGAGUUCGAAUCUCUCCGGGCGCGCCA